rnacentral:SRP_RNA from 1 species
CGUCAGGGGCCAUGGAUCGUAGACGUGCGAACCCCGCCAGGGCAGGAAUGCAGCAACGGUAGUAUGCUUUACGUUGCCGUGGUGCUCUGACGGCU